UCGACCUCAGAUCAGACGAGA
rnacentral:rRNA from 2 species